GACGAACGCUGGCGGCGUGCCUAACACAUGCAAGUCGAGCGGAGACACUGAGGAGCUUGCUCCGAGGUGUUUUAGCGGCGGACGGGUGAGUAACGCGUGAGCAACCUUUCCUCUACUGGGGAAUAACACAUCGAAAGGUGUACUAAUACCGCAUGAGACCACAGCACUGCAUGGUGCAGGGGUCAAAGAUUUAUCGGUAGAGGGUGGGCUCGCGUCUGAUUAGAUAGUUGGUGGGGUAACGGCCUACCAAGUCGACGAUCAGUAGCCGACCUGAGAGGGUGAUCGGCCACAUUGGGACUGAGACACGGCCCAAAACUCCUACGGGAGGCAGCAGUGGGGAAUAUUGGGCAAUGGGGGAAACCCUGACCCAGCAACGCCGCGUGAAGGAAGAAGGUCUUCGGAUCGUAAACUUCUGUUCUUGGUGAAGAGAAGAAGACGGUAGCCAAGGAGGAAGCCCCGGCUAACUACGUG
rnacentral:rRNA from 1 species